AAGGACAUUCUCCACCUCCAAGUCCGGACUGACCUCGGCUAGAGAGGGGCGCCAGGGACAGGACAUGGGGGACGGGGAACCCCACCCAGUUCCUCACUCCUCUGACUGGCUCCUCUGCUCCAUCCUCCACCCCACCAUGAUCCUUGGGAGGAACUGCGCAUUUAAGAAUCUCUCCUAAGGACUUCCCUGGUUGCGCAGUGGUUAAGAAUCCGCCUGCCAAUGCAGGGGACACGGGUUUGAUCCCUGGUCCAGGAAGAUCCCACAUGCCGCGGGGCAACUAAGCCCAUGCGCCACAACUACUGAGCCCGCGUGCUGCAACUGCUGAAGCCCACACGCCUAGAACCCGUGCUCUGCAGCAAGAGAAGCCACUGCAAUGAGAAGCCUGAGCAGCGCAAAGAAGAGCAGCCCCCGCCCACUGCAACUAGAGAAAGCCCUCGCGCAGCAACGAAGACCCAAUGCAGACCAAAAAAAAAAAAAAAAAAAAAAGAAUCGCUCCUAAAAAGUACUUGCUGGGAGCACAGCGCCUAUAAGGAUGCUUGCCAUGAGGGGAAAGGGAAAACCAUCUUAAAGCCCAUCAGUGGUGGGCUGGCUCAACUAUUUGCAUGCUGUGCAACCAUUUGUUAAAAAUUUGGUGGAGGUAUAUACACUGACACAGUGACGUGUCCAAUAUAUAUUAAGUGAGAAAUAA